rnacentral:rRNA from 1 species
AGCGGCGGACGGGUGAGUAACGCGUGGGUAACCUGCCUGUAAGACUGGGAUAACUCCGGGAAACCGGGGCUAAUACCGGAUGGUUGUCUGAACCGCAUGGUUCAGACAUAAAAGGUGGCUUCGGCUACCACUUACAGAUGGACCCGCGGCGUCUAUUAGCUAGUUGGUGAGGUAACGGCUCACCAAGGCGACGAUGCGUAGCCGACCUGAGAGGGUGAUCGGCCACACUGGGACUGAGACACGGCCCAGACUCCUACGGGAGGCAGCAGUAGGGAAUCUUCCGCAAUGGACGAAAGUCUGACGGAGCAACGCCGCGUGAGUGAUGAAGGUUUUCGGAUCGUAAAGCUCUGUUGUUAGGGAAGAACAAGUGCCGUUCAAAUAGGGCGGCACCUUGACGGUACCUAACCAGAAAGCCACGGCUAACUACGUGCCAGCAGCCGCGGUAAUACGUAGGUGGCAAGCGUUGUCCGGAAUUAUUGGGCGUAAAGGGCUCGCAGGCGGUUUCUUAAGUCUGAUGUGAAAGCCCCCGGCUCAACCGGGGAGGGUCAUUGGAAACUGGGGAACUUGAGUGCAGAAGAGGAGAGUGGAAUUCCACGUGUAGCGGUGAAAUGCGUAGAGAUGUGGAGGAACACCAGUGGCGAAGGCGACUCUCUGGUCUGUAACUGACGCUGAGGAGCGAAAGCGUGGGGAGCGAACAGGAUUAGAUACCCUGGUAGUCCACGCCGUAAACGAUGAGUGCUAAGUGUUAGGGGGUUUCCGCCCCUUAGUGCUGCAGCUAACGCAUUAAGCACUCCGCCUGGGGAGUACGGUCGCAAGACUGAAACUCAAAGGAAUUGACGGGGGCCCGCACAAGCGGUGGAGCAUGUGGUUUAAUUCGAAGCAACGCGAAGAACCUUACCAGGUCUUGACAUCCUCUGACAAUCCUAGAGAUAGGACGUCCCCUUCGGGGGCAGAGUGACAGGUGGUGCAUGGUUGUCGUCAGCUCGUGUCCUGAGAUGUUGGGUUAAGUCCCGCAACGAGCGCAACCCUUGAUCUUAGUUGCCAGCAUUCAGUUGGGCACUCUAAGGUGACUGCCGGUGACAAACCGGAGGAAGGUGGGGAUGACGUCAAAUCAUCAUG